AUGGAGGCUCCGACGGGGCUAACCGCCCCCACAGACCGCCGCCGCCCGACGCCCCUCGCUUCCCCACCCCCCCGCGACCCCCACACGACCCUUCUUCUCCCCCCAUCCAGGGCCGCCGGGGCCGACCGGCCCCGGCCCCGCCCUCACCUCCGAGCACACCUUCCCCGUGGCACCGACCAACCCUCACCGUCCCCUCCCCCGCACCCGCGGCCCAGGCCCCCCCCCCCGCGGGAGGGGGGCUGCGGCGGGAAGCGGGGCACGAGCGGGCAAGGGCGUGGGGGUGGCGGUUCGGGGAGGAGGCGGGGAAGGAGACGGAAAGCCGGACCCGGACCGGACCCGGGGCCUGAAGGGAGGGCGGAAGGAAGGGGGGUAAAAGGUCUGCGGGGUAGGGCAAAAAAGAGAGGCGCGCAAGGCAGGAAGACGGGCCCGGGGGGGACGGACCCCCCCCCGACGGAGCGGAGAGCCAUCCAGGGCGGGCGGCGGGAGGCGGCGGACGGCGGGGCGCCCCGCGUGAGCCGAGGCUCCAAGGCCCCCCGGGACAGGCGAGAACCCGACCGGGGAGACGCCACGGGGACCCACCGCCAAGCCGCGCAUCCCGAGACGCGACGCGGCCAGGGCGCCAGCGCGGGCGGCGCGGCGACCGGGUUACGACCGGCGCCAAAGGCGAAGAAGGCGGGGGGAACGCACUCGAACCCCCCCAACCCUCAGACCCACCUCCGCGGGGGAAGGCGAGGCGAGGCGCAGAGGGGGGGGAAGCGCGCCAGCGAGGGGCGGGGAGAGGAGGGCGAAGGCACGCCAGGGACGGCGGGGGACGCCGCAGCGGCUCCCGCGCGCCUCCUGGCGGAGGCCUCCGCCCUUCUUCCCCACCCCCUCCGACCGCCCCCCCCCCAAAGGCCCCUCAACGCCCUCCCGCGCUCUCUCGUCCCUCGCGACCAGCGGGCCGGCACCGCACCGACCCGCCCGCGCCGCACGGGUGGCAAGGCACGCAAGCGGAACAGGGGGAGGGCCCCGACCGCUGCGCUCUCUCGUUAA
rnacentral:lncRNA from 1 species